CUCUGAUGGCCAUUAAGAGGAUUGUGUCAAAUCUUUAUCGAUGCACUAAACCUUCUCUGUUUGUGCGUAUGAGUCGGUUUGUCUUGCAGUGAGGGUUCAUUUUCUGGCUAGUCUUUUCUGAUGUUCUCUAGUGCAGUUGAAACGUCAGUAGCAGAUAGCAGAUCUGCUAAUUGCAACAUCAGCAACACACCAGCUUCGGCCUCUUCUUGCUCAACAGUAACCCUGAGCUCCUACACAUGGACACAAGAUGUUUGCAUCCUGUCAUGACCUCACACAAGCAAAGCACCAAACUAGCCAAUAUCAUGGCACACGAAGGGCUGUCUGCCGUUGCACGGAUCAGAGCAAGAUAGAAACUAAGUGUGUGGGGGCAUUGGAUGCCUGCUUGCUGGCUUGCUUUGCUUGUUGCAUCCCCCCUCACCUCUCCCCUCUUUUGUUGACUGUGUUGUGCACACCUUGUCUCUUGUGUAAUUAUGGUUUUCUAAGCCCUGCCCCCAACUACUAGUCUCCAUCAUUGAUCACACAUACUACCGUCUCAUUCUUGCAUCACCGUCUCUUUACAUUACUCUCUUGACUGCUCAGUACCCAUCUAUCUUAUCAUGUUUUAUUACAACAACAACUCCUAACAUUCUUGUAUGUAACUGCAGUUGUCAGUCUCCACAGCUUCUGUUUACAGCUCUGAACUUUUACAGUAUCUCCGUGGUGACUGUCACACCACAGAAGAGUGUAGUAGAGGAAUACCCUACCUGGUUGCCUGAACUGUGCCUGAGCUGAUCUGAACUGAUCAUGAAAGCUGGAAACACUGGUGAAGAGACCAACCAACCCUGCACCAUGCCCUCCUGCUUGCUCUGCAGCAUCAAACUUCUGCCAGCCUUGCCUGAACAAAAUGAGUGAUGACGUGGAGUUGUGGAUGCCCUAGCUGGAGAAAGACAGUGAUGGAGAUCCACUGCAUUCUACCCUAGGUACAGUGCAUUGGUCAGAUGAACCAUGCAAGCAAGCAAGCUAUAUAUCCCUUUCUCCUUUUAUUUUUUUCUUUUCUUUUAUUUCUUUUGAAAAGAAAAGUUUGCAUACAACCUAGUUAUCGAGUCCAUGAUCCAGUUGUGAGAGUAUUUAUUCUGCUCAGGAUAUAUGUAACCAAAGGAUGAGAGAUUUAUAUAUAUGCCACGUCAUCCGAGUAUCUAUAAUGAUACGACUGACAAGUACAAGUACAAGA